rnacentral:tRNA from 1 species
CGGGGUGUGGCGUAGCCAGGUAGCGCGUUCCGAUGGACCAUCGGAAAGGUCGUAGGUUCAAAUCCUACCAUCCCGACUA